AGGCCAGACUCCUACGGGAGGCAGCAGUGGGGAAUAUUGCACAAUGGGGGAAACCCUGAUGCAGCGACGCCGCGUGAGCGAUGAAGUAUUUCGGUAUGUAAAGCUCUAUCAGCAGGGAAGAAGAUGACGGUACCUGACUAAGAAGCCCUGGCUAACUACGUGCCAGCAGCCGCGGUAAUACGUAGGGGGCAAGCGUUAUCCGGAUUUACUGGGUGUAAAGGGAGCGUAGACGGCAGUGCAAGUCCGGAGUGAAAGCCCGGGGCUCAACCCUGGGACUGCUCUGGAAACUGUAAAGCUGGAGUGCGGGAGGGGCAGGCGGAAUUCCUGGUGUAGCGGUGAAAUGCGUAGAUAUCAGGAGGAACACCGGCGGCGAAGGCGGCCUGCUGGACCGUAACUGACGUUGAGGCUCGAAAGCGUGGGGAGCAAACAGGAUUAGAUACCCCGGUAUAA
rnacentral:rRNA from 1 species